AGCCCGCUCGCCGGAAGACCAAGGGUUCCUGUCCAACGUUAAUCGGGGCAGGGUGAGUCGACCCCUAAGGCGAGGCCGAAAGGCGUAGUCGAUGGGAAACAGGUUAAUAUUCCUGUACUUGGUGUUACUGCGAAGGGGGGACGGAGAAGGCUAUGUUGGCCGGGCGACGGUUGUCCCGGUUUAAGCGUGUAGGCUGGUUUUCCAGGCAAAUCCGGAAAAUCAAGGCUGAGGCGUGAUGACGAGGCACUACGGUGCUGAAGCAACAAAUGCCCUGCUUCCAGGAAAAGCCUCUAAGCAUCAGGUAACAUCAAAUCGUACCCCAAACCGACACAGGUGGUCAGGUAGAGAAUACCAAGGCGCUUGAGAGAACUCGGGUGAAGGAACUAGGCAAAAUGGUGCCGUAACUUCGGGAGAAGGCACGCUGAUAUGUAGGUGAGGUCCCUCGCGGAUGGAGCUGAAAUCAGUCGAAGAUACCAGCUGGCUGCAACUGUUUAUUAAAAACACAGCACUGUGCAAACACGAAAGUGGACGUAUACGGUGUGACGCCUGCCCGGUGCCGGAAGGUUAAUUGAUGGGGUCAGCGCAAGCGAAGCUCUUGAUCGAAGCCCCGGUAAACGGCGGCCGUAACUAUAACGGUCCUAAGGUAGCGAAAUUCCUUGUCGGGUAAGUUCCGACCUGCACGAAUGGCGUAAUGAUGGCCAGGCUGUCUCCACCCGAGACUCAGUGAAAUUGAACUCGCUGUGAAGAUGCAGUGUACCCGCGGCAAGACGGAAAGACCCCGUGAACCUUUACUAUAGCUUGACACUGAACAUUGAGCCUUGAUGUGUAGGAUAGGUGGGAGGCUUGGAAGUGUGGACGCCAGUCUGCAUGGAGCCGACCUUGAAAUACCACCCUUUAAUGUUUGAUGUUCUAACGUUGACCCGUAAUCCGGGUUGCGGACAGUGUCUGGUGGGUAGUUUGACUGGGGCGGUCUCCUCCUAAAGAGUAACGGAGGAGCACGAAGGUUGGCUAAUCCUGGUCGGACAUCAGGAGGUUAGUGCAAUGGCAUAAGCCAGCUUGACUGCGAGCGUGACGGCGCGAGCAGGUGCGAAAGCAGGUCAUAGUGAUCCGGUGGUUCUGAAUGGAAGGGCCAUCGCUCAACGGAUAAAAGGUACUCCGGGGAUAACAGGCUGAUACCGCCCAAGAGUUCAUAUCGACGGCGGUGUUUGGCACCUCGAUGUCGGCUCAUCACAUCCUGGGGCUGAAGUAGGUCCCAAGGGUAUGGCUGUUCGCCAUUUAAAGUGGUACGCGAGCUGGGUUUAGAACGUCGUGAGACAGUUCGGUCCCUAUCUGCCGUGGGCGCUGGAGAACUGAGGGGGGCUGCUCCUAGUACGAGAGGACCGGAGUGGACGCAUCACUGGUGUUCGGGUUGUCAUGCCAAUGGCACUGCCCGGUAGCUAAAUGCGGAAGAGAUAAGUGCUGAAAGCAUCUAAGCACGAAACUUGCCCCGAGAUGAGUUCUCCCUGACCCUUUAAGGGUCCUGAAGGAACGUUGAAGACGACGACGUUGAUAGGCCGGGUGUGUAAGCGCAGCGAUGCGUUGAGCUAACCGGUACUAAUGAACCGUGAGGCUUAACCUU
rnacentral:rRNA from 1 species